AAGCGGAGGAAAAGAAACCAACAGGGAUUGCCUCAGUAACGGCGAGUGAAGCGGCAAAAGCUCAAAUUUUAAAGCUGGCAUCUUCGGUGUCCGCGUUGUAAUUUUGUGAGGCAUCUCCGGGUAGGGCGCCGGCCUAAGUUCCUUGGAACAGGACGUCACAGAGGGUGAGAAUCCCGUGCUUGGCUGGCUGUCCCCGUCCAUGUGAGGUGUCUUCGACGAGUCGAGUUGUUUGGGAAUGCAGCUCAAAAUGGGUGGUAAAUUUCAUCUAAAGCUAAAUAUUGGUGGGAGACCGAUAGCGCACAAGUAGAGUGAUCGAAAGAUGAAAAGCACUUUGAAAAUAGAGUUAAAAAGUACGUGAAAUUGUUGAAAGGGAAGCGCUUGAGAUCAGACUUCGGUAGGGGGUGAUCAGCCGUCCUUCUGGGCGGUGCACUUGCCCCUCUCCGGGCCAGCAUCGGUUGAGGCGGCGGGAUAAAGGUCCCGGGAAUGUGGCUCCUUCGCGGGAGUGUUAUAGCCCGGGUGAAUGCCGCCAGUCUCGACCGAGGACCGCACCCGCAAGGGUUAGGAUGCUUGGCAUAAUGGUCUUCAGCGACCCGUCUUGAA
rnacentral:rRNA from 1 species